CCCUAAUCCUAACCAUAACCCUUACCUAACCCUAAUUUUAAAGCUAACCUUAACCAUUUUAAAUGUAUACUUCAAUGGGGUAAGGACGUACCAAGGAUCCCGGAUAUUUUUUUCUCUCCAUUGCGGCAAAUUAAUCUUGAUUAGCGCCACCUAGCUGCCAGUGACUGACAGCGGCACUGCUAAUGCUGCUGAUGCACUGGCACAGUGCAGCAGUUACCAGAAACAGCUCCCUGGCAAGUAAUGUCGAAUUCCAGCCUCCUCUGGUGGAGUUAAGACCUGCCAUGGUGAACUGACAGUAAGAGAGGAGCUGAAAGAAACCAGCCAGCACUACUCUGCCCUGGGUGAGAGGUUUGAUUUGGGCCGGGGGAAUUGGUGGCCCAGCAGGUCUGCCUGGUCUGCUUGCCUGCCUGCGUAUCCAUCGAUGGAAGUGUCUCUCACCUCUGGCCAGCUAGCGGUUCCUCCUGCCUCCUCCUUUUCGACCUACCGACCGUCAGUCCGCUGAAUGGUCAAAGAGCGCGUCGAGCUGUCACGCCCCAGCGCCACCAGGGAGGGGCUCUCCUCGCCCACCUGGCCUAGCUCGCCUAGCUGGCCGUUACCCUCAAGGCACCUGGACAGGAGAGGGACCCGCAGGCAGGAGGGCCAGAGGGGGAAGAGUGAAGGAGUGUCAGC